rnacentral:rRNA from 1 species
AAGCCUGAUCAGCAAUGCCGCGUGCAGGAAGAAGGCCUUCGGGUUGUAAACUGCUUUUGUACGGAACGAAACGGCUCUUUCUAAUAAAGAGGGCUAAUGACGGUACCGUAAGAAUAAGCACCGGCUAACUACGUGCCAGCAGCCGCGGUAAUACGUAGGGUGCGAGCGUUAAUCGGAAUUACUGGGCGUAAAGCGUGCGCAGGCGGUUAUAUAAGACAGUUGUGAAAUCCCCGGGCUCAACCUGGGAAUUGCAUCUGUGACUGUAUAGCUAGAGUACGGUAGAGGGGGAUGGAAUUCCGCGUGUAGCAGUGAAAUGCGUAGAUAUGCGGAGGAACACCGAUGGCGAAGGCAAUCCCCUGGACCUGUACUGACGCUCAUGCACGAAAGCGUGGGGAGCAAACAGGAUUAGAUACCCUGGUAGUCCACGCCCUAAACGAUGUCAACUGGUUGUUGGGUGCAUUAGUACUCAGUAACGAAGCUAACGCGUGAAGUUGACCGCCUGGGGAGUACGGCCGCAAGGUUGAAACUCAAAGAAAUUGACGGAG